rnacentral:tRNA from 1 species
GGAGAUUUAUUUUAUUUAAAAUAUAAAUU